ensembl:lncRNA
AUCAAUGAUACUAGGACCUGCCAGGGCCAAAAUUCAUGUAUAUCCCCAUCCUGACCCUAUUCAGUCUCUUAAGUCCACUUCCCACCUACAUUGGGUUGUUGUCAUCUUUGGAGAGAAGAGCCAAAAUUAGGGUGAGUGGGAUAUAAAUAUAUAUUCUAAGUUGUAGUUUUUUUAAGAUUUUUUUUCAAUUAAUUUUUCACCCAUGGACAUGAGAGAGGAAAACAGAGGGUGGGAGAAUGGAAAAAAGUGUUUACAGGGCUAACUGUAGUUUACUAAAAAAUGCAGAAAUUAUUUGACUUCAUGGGGAGUGAGGCAGAAUAGGGAGGCCCAAAGCAAGUCCUAAUAUUUUAAAGGAGUUGCAGCCCUGCACAGGCAUUAGAUAUUAGGGCACUGUUCUGUCUGGUGUUGUAGCCAUCACAAGAACAAAUCAACAGCAACCAAAAAAAAAACCAAUAAAUUUUAAAAAUUUAAUCAGUGUUUGUUUUUACUUCAUUUCACUGCCUCAUAGAUCUGAAAUGGUAUGGCUAAACCUCCUGAGUGAAUAGUCUUAGUUGUUCUCUAAUAGGCAUCUGAGUACAGAGUUUGAAAUUCAGGCCCCUGCCAUUACUGCCCCAGACCCUUCAUAUUUCAGGGGAGUGGCUCUUUCUGCAUCUUUUAUUCUUCUGGUUUACGCUAAAACUCCUCCUGCUACAUUCUGUCCUUUCAUAUGGCCUCAGUGGGAAGGAGGUUGGGUGACUUGGCAUAUUAAACAAAAUGUAGCAUAUUCUUUUUACAGUGGGCACCCAAGUAGAUUGUUUCCUAACCUACUGAGUACUUAUUUGAUCUUAAAAAAAACAACCCCGUAAUGAAGUAUCAUUGACAUGCAAUAAGCUGUACAUGUUUAAGGUUUACAUGUUUAAGGUAUACAGUUGAUAAGCUUUGACAUAGGAUACACCUGUGUAUGUAUGUAUGUAAAAAAUUAUUUUUUUAAUUAAUUUUAUUUAUUUAUUUUUGGCUGUGUUGGGUAAUAGCCUUCCCUGGUGGUGCAGUGGUUAAGAAUCCGCCUGCCAAUACAGGGGACACGGGUUCGAGCCCUGGUCCGGGAAGAUCCCACAUGCCGCGGAGCAAGUAAGCCCGUGUGCCACAACUACUGAGCCUGCGCUAUAGAGCCCGCGAGCCACAACUACUGAGCCCGUGUGCCACAAGUACUGAAGCCCACGCGCCUAGAGCCCAUGCUCCACAACAAGAGAAAAGAUAGUGAACAUACCCUUUACUCCCAAAAGUUUCUUCCUGCCUCUUCCCACCCUUUCCCAUGCCCAAGUAGCCACUGAUCUGCUUUCCAUCAUUGUGAAUUAGUUCGCGUUUUCUUGAGUUUUAUAUAAAUGAGAUCACACAGUAUAUUUUAGUAAUUGGGCUUUGAGCUAAUAACCUUGACCACAGAGUUGCAUCUAGUAUUUGGAAUCCAUGAAACAAACCUCCCUGCAUAACAUCAAUGGUACUCAGAGUUUGAUUCUCUAAAAAGGCAAUAUUGGAAGGGGAGAAAAAAACUUGAAUAUGGAACGGUGUUUGGAGUAAGAUUAUCAGAUUCUGGGGAUCAGCACGUUGCCCUCACCAUCCUGCUCAUUUUCUGGUUAGACAGUAAAACUUUGAAGCCUAGUCCAACCCUAGGUCCUUGCAAUGACCAGUUGACUUUUCUCUGUUUAAGGAUUUUGGCUUUUAUCACCAAAAGCUGUGUCUAGGACUGGAAAACAUGUGGAAGGGUUAAUAUAACUCUCCCCAGCCACUAAAAAGUAGCCUUUGGAAUACAUAUCCUAGUGUAUGUCAAGAACAUCCUCUCCACAGCUAUAGCUUUGAAAUCCAGAACUCUUAUUAAUGGUUCUCACUGCUUACUCUUCAGUGUUAACAGAUUGGUUCAGACUAAUUCUUACAAAUAGUCUUGUUACUUUUGGGCAUAGCAAGGAUACCCACCUUAAUUUCAAUUUAACAGGGAACUGUUUGGGAUCAGGUACCCUAAUGUAGAUAUUGUGUUCCUGCUUGACAUUGUCUAGUGGGAGUAGAAUGAGAGUCUUACCUAAGUAAGCACCUGAACUUACCUAAGUCAGAAAGUUCCCAUGGAUCUGUUCCCUUAUUUCCGUGAUUGACUUAGCCAAGAAAUUUUAGUCAUGAUUAUGUGAAACACAAAUCACCCGUUGGGGCUAUUCCCAGCAAGAUUGUACUAAACUAAAGUAACUUGUAAUUUUUAUGUACCUGUUCUAUAAAGAUCAAUAACUGAGAAUGUAAGAUAAAUAAGACAGGAACUUUUGAAUGGCAUCAAGACCUCAUGAAUGCGAAGUAUGUGUCCAUCUUGUGUAGCCUGGGUGCUAAAUCGUUUUACAGGGAUGAAAGCCAAAAUCCAGAAAAGUUAAACAUUCAAGAUUAUGCAACAAGGUAUGCCUGAUUUUUGUGAGAUGUAUUACUAGCAAAUGAGAAAGUUGCCUGUGAGAACAUUCCUCUGACAAAAAUGGGGAAAAGCUGUCAAUAUUUCUCUCCUACUCGACAAAGACUGAAAAGUUCUUUAGGUCAGUGAAAAGCUGAUUAAGGGGAAGGAGUCUUGAAUUAAAAGGGAAUGUUUUGUUGGGUACAAGGAUGAACUUGGUGGGGAUGAGGGGCCUGCAGGAAGGAUGUAAGGUAAACUGCAGGGUGCUAGAGGGGUGUAUUCAUCCCCAGGGCCAUGAGCAUCAGUACUCUGUGGAUUCCAACUUAAACACUAGCAGAGGCCACUACCAACCGGAACUUUAGCGUAGCUAGGGAGCAGUGCAUAGCAACGCGUUGUCCUGCCUUUAAGCUCUGGAACUUAACAGUAUCUGUUAUUUUGGGCGGGGAGGGGUAGUGUUCAUCCACCACUGGCUACAACACACAGAUCUACAAGAAAUGAUGGCAGGUAUGCUGUUUUUUUGUUUCUGCUUUCAUUGUUGUUUUAUUUUUAAGAAAUCAAAAUAUAAGUAGAAGCCCAAGGAAGAUUUUCAGCAGCCACUGAGCUUCCUGCAGUGUUGCAGAAGUCAGUCAGAUGUUCCUGCCAAGCUUUGUAAUUCAUCAACUCGAUAUGACUGGUGAGAAUGACACUUAACCUCAGUGUCUUCCUUACAAAAACCGUGAGAAACACAUCAGAUAAAUCCCAAAUGAGGGACAUUCUAAAAUGUACCCUCAAAGCCAUCUAAGUCAUCAAAAACAAGGGAAGUCUGAGAAACUGUGAGACCAGUGGUGGCUAGCGAGACAUAAUGACUAAAUGUAAUGUGAUCAUUUGGAUGGGAUGCUAGAGCAGAAAAAGAGUAUGCGAUAAAAACUAAUGAAAUCUGAAUAAAGAAUGGAAUUUAGUU